rnacentral:lncRNA from 1 species
GCCACACCUUCUCCAGCAGAGCUUGAAUUCCAGCUUGACCAGAGGAAUCCCUUCCAAGUUUGCUUCUUCCUCAAGUAUUUUUCUCAGCUCUAGAGUACUCUUUAGCAUUCUGCUUACCCCUUUUAGUUAUUCCCCUCCUCUAGUUAAUACUAUUUAUUAAACUUUCCCUGUUCAAAUUACACUCCGAUUCUGGACUAGUACAGAAUCCAACUGCCACAAAAUGGUGCUGGGAGUAGUCCUAGGAGAUAGACCUGCGGAGGUGGGAUUUGAGGGCUGACCCUGUCCUUGGAGUUCAGCACAGUGCUGAACUCCUUAGCAAUGGGAAAUGGGAAGCUAGUGACCUGUGGCAUGCAGGGACAUCACACAUCAAGCUAGCACUUGUGGCUAAUUGUAAUGAAGUUGUAACCAAAGCAAGUGUCUUAGGAGCCCAAAUGGCAGUUGCAACUAACUGUUACGGCAGUACAUGAUGCCUGUAAGGAAUGUACUGUGGGACAGAUUUUUCUGAGCAUACUUGAGUAGUAACAGAAAAAUGACAAACCCAAAUCCUUUAACUCUGAGCUCAAGUCAUUGUUAGAGGACGACAGAGCUUUGAGGAUAGCCCUAAAAGAAUCUUUUAUUGCUCACAGCCAGAGGGCUGAUAUUGCUAAAAAAUUAAACAUAAAAUUUAAGGGUGUGGGUUGCUGACUUACAACAAUAGUUGAAUGUAUAGUUUUGAGCUUCCCUCUCCUGUGGAAGUAGCUUGUUAUUGCCAAAGCUCUUAUACGCCAAAAGAAGGAGUCGCAGCCUCCACUCUUGACUGUUACUCUAUUUUGCCUCCUUGGGGUACAAGGUGAAAAAACCCUCAACCCUGGUCUGGAGGGCCUGGAACUCCAGCUGACACCCACCACAGUGUGAGUGAUGAGGAAAACACAAGGCAACUGGAUCCAGUGGCAAAUCUGCCAUUUUAAGGGGGAUGAUUAUCUUGUCUUUUCUUCUCUGAGGAAAGAGGCUUCUAGGAAGCUGUACCUGGUGGCUGUUUGUUCAUGAUGCUACUGUACUGAUAAACUCAGACCUUCCUAGGUGGGCACGUAAGGCCUGCUUAUCCCCCAGCUAGGGUGAGCAAACCUCCUGGUUUGCCGAACUUUUAGAAUAUUUAUUUUUAAGAAGGAAGUGUGUUUAAUUUUUUUUUCAGGAUUUAGUGGAGGCCAUUAUUGGAUACCAGGGGCAAAGGUCAGCCCAGGGUAAGGUGAGUCCAGGAGAAAGCCCAGCCUGUCCUACAACAGCCCUGCGGCAUAGAACCGGUGGUGAGCCUGCCAUGGUUUGCUUCUGGGCAGCAGGCUGGACCACCUGGGGAGCAUGGAAGACUGUGUCUGUGUUCCCUCAACCAUCCCCAAGUUUACAGCAGCCCCACUGUGAGUCAGGAGUCAUUCCUGACUCACGGUAGGGACAGUUUGCAUUUAUGGAAAGCAAACUGGAAGGAGUGGCCUGAGCCCAUAUUGCCCAUGGUAAUGACUCCUUGCAAUGCGAAUAACCAAGGUGAGGCAGGUUGGGCAGGUUUUAUCCUCCCCACAAAGGCGAGCCUUUGUGGGUGGAGAGAGUAGGUGGAGAUGAUGCACUCAAAACAGAGAAGAUGUUAAGAGGCUUUUGAAACUAUAAAGCAGUCCCACUGCUGUUGUCCGAGUUUAUCAACUCUUUUGCAAAUUAUGUAUGAGUCAACACUACUGCUUACCUGGCUUCUACUUUAUGAGUAACAGCUAAAUAAAUGAGUCUAACUUGGAGAAAAUCAAUGUUCAUUUUCUUUUGCAGUUGUCAUCUGCAGCAGGACCUCACUUGAGUACUGCCUCUGAGCCUAGGUUCUGAAAGCUAGUUUAAAAUUCCCUCUUUAAGUUUGUCUGCUGAAUGUUCUGUGACAAAUUCCCUUUCACGCACGUCCAUGUGAAGAGACCACCAAACAGGCUUUGUGUGAGCAACAAGGCUGUUUAUUUCACCUGGGUGCAGGUGGGCUGAGUCCGAAAAGAGAGUCAGGGAAGGGAGAUAGGGGUGGGGCCGUUUUAUAAGAUUUGGGUAGGUAAAGGAAAAAGGGGGGUUUUUCUCUGGUGGGCAGGUCUAUGUGUCUGUCUGUCUAUAUUUGGCUGAGCCUUUUGAAAGUACAUUGUAGAAGUCAUGACACUUUUGUGUGUGGUUUAAGCAACAAAUAUUUAUUUUCUCACAGUUCUGGAGGUUGGAAGUCUGCAAUCAGAGCAUCAGCAUGGUCAGGUGAGGGUCCUCUUCCCAGCUGGCGGGGGUCCACCAUCUCAAGGUGUCCUCACUUGGCCUGUUUGGCCUUUGCAGAAGACAGGCAGAUCUGGAGAAUGAGAGAUUA